rnacentral:rRNA from 1 species
GAUGAACGCUAGCGGCAGGCCUAAUACAUGCAAGUCGGACGGGAUUCAGGAGCUUGCUUCUGAUGAGAGUGGCGCACGGGUGCGUAACACGUAUGUAACCUACCUUUAUCAGGGGGAUAGCCUCUCGAAAGAGGGAUUAAGCCCGCAUAAAAUCACAGCACAGCAUUGUGUAAUGAUCAAAUAUUUAUAGGAUAAAGAUGGGCAUGCGGAACAUUAGCUAGAUGGCGGGGUAACGGCCCACCAUGGCGACGAUGUUUAGGGGAUCUGAGAGGAUGGCCCCCCACACUGGUACUGAGACACGGACCAGACUCCUACGGGAGGCAGCAGUAAGGAAUAUUGGUCAAUGGGCGGAAGCCUGAACCAGCCAUGCCGCGUGCAGGAAGACGGCCCUACGGGUUGUAAACUGCUUUUAUACGGGAAUAAACCCAGAUACGUGUAUCUGGCUGAAUGUACUGUAAGAAUAAGGAUCGGCUAACUCCGUG